GGUGGCGAUUGCACGAAGGCUACACCUGUUCCCAGGCCGAACACAGAAGUUAAGCUUCGUUACGCCAAGAGUAGUUGGGGGAUCGCCCCCUGUGAGGGUAGGGCGCUGCC
rnacentral:rRNA from 1 species